rnacentral:misc_RNA from 1 species
GGUUUCCUAUCGCUGAAGUGUUCACGCUGAAGCCCCUGGAGUUUGGCAAGCCCAACACUUUGGUCUGUUUUGUCAGUAAUCUCUUCCCACCCAUGCUGACAGUGAACUGGCAGCAUCAUUCCGUCCCUGUGGAAGGAUUUGGGCCUACUUUUGUCUCAGCUGUCGAUGGACUCAGCUUCCAGGCCUUUUCUUACUUAAACUUCACACCAGAACCUUCUGACAUUUUCUCCUGCAUUGUGACUCACGAAAUUGACCGCUACACAGCAAUUGCCUAUUGGGUACCCCGGAACGCACUGCCCUCAGAUCUGCUGGAGAAUGUGCUGUGUGGCGUGGCCUUUGGCCUGGGUGUGCUGGGCAUCAUCGUGGGCAUUGUUCUCAUCAUCUACUUCCGGAAGCCUUGCUCAGGUGACUGAUUCUUCCAGACCAGAGUUUGAUGCCAGCAGCUUCGGCCAUCCAAACAGAGGAUGCUCAGAUUUCUCACAUCCUGCCCAGGAUCUCCUCUUAGG